rnacentral:rRNA from 1 species
GACGAACCGUGCGAACGUUGUUCGGAAUCACUGGGCUUAAAGGGCGCGUAGGCGGGCUAUCAAGUCCGGGGUGAAAUCCUCCAGCUUAACUGGAGAACGGCCUCGGAUACUGAUGGCCUCGAGGGGGAUAGGGGCACACGGAACUGUGGGUGGAGCGGUGAAAUGCGUAGAUAUCGCUUGGAACGCCGAAGGUGAAAACAGGUUGCUGGGGAUGUGCCGACGCUGAGACACGAAAGCCAGGGGAGCAAACGGG